rnacentral:rRNA from 1 species
AACGCGAAGAACCUUACCUACCCUUGACAUCCAGAGAAUCCUGCAGAGAUGCGGGAGUGCCGCAAGGAACUCUGAGACAGGUGCUGCAUGGCUGUCGUCAGCUCGUGUUGUGAGAUGUUGGGUUAAGUCCCGUAACGAGCGCAACCCUUAUCCUUAGUUGCCAGCGCGUAAUGGCGGGGACUCUAAGGAGACUGCUGGUGAUGAACCGGAGGAAGGCGGGGACGACGUCAAGUCAUCAUGGCCUUUAUGGGUAGGGCUACACACGUGCUACAAUGGACAGUACAGAGGGUUGCCAACCCGCGAGGGGGAGCCAAUCCCAGAAAGCUGUUCGUAGUCCGGAUCGGAGUCUGCAACUCGACUCCGUGAAGUCGGAAUCGCUAGUAAUCGCGAAUCAGAACGUCGCGGUGAAUACGUUCCCGGGCCUUGUACACACCGUAGUAC